CCGUAGAUCGGGAAAUUUUCGUUGUUAAAAUAUUUUCGCGGAUGAAGUGACCCGCGAAAAUUUGACACACGAAAUAUUUUCUACAGUGAAUAAUAAGAUUACCGGAAUUAUUCUAACGUGCAGCGGUGCACCCCCACGAGGCUCUUCUAGUCUUCUAAAAGCCCAAAGAAGGCCUGAAGCUCUCACCCAAGAGGCUCCUUGUCAGUUUUAGUACUGUCACGAGCAACUUCCAUUGAAUAGCUGUCCAUCGUCAUCAAGAUUCUAAGUUAAUGCCAGUGAUACACUACAGAGUAUCUUGUCAGCAAUUUAUUGAAUACUAAGGAAUAUAUAUUUAGCUCCUUGAUUGCUAUAGCAGCACAUUAUCCCACCCUCAUAUCUGUGUGGUUUUAUGAUGUUUUUUCUGUUAUUAUUUUAUUAUUAUUCAUUAUUAUUAAUUAAUUGAUCAUUUUUGUAUAAAAGGAGACAUUUUUGUUAGGCUUAAGAGUGCGUGUGAGCGGGAGCGAGUGAAUGAGAGUGUUAAGG